AACGAACGCUGGCGGCGUGCCUAAUACAUGCAAGUCGAGCGAGAAGGUGUAGCAAUACACUUGUAAAGCGGCGAACGGGUGAGGAAUGCAUGGGUAACCUACCCUCGAGUGGGGAAUAACUAGCCGAAAGGUUAGCUAAUACCGCAUACGUUUCCGGAACUUCGGUUUCGGAAAGAAAGCAAUACCGUGGGUAUUGCGCUCCUGGAUGGGCUCAUGUCCUAUCAGCUUGUUGGUGAGGUAACGGCUCACCAAGGCUUCGACGGGUAGCUGGUCUGAGAGGACGAUCAGCCACACUGGCACUGCGACACGGGCCAGACUCCUACGGGAGGCAGCAGUAAGGAAUAUUGCGCAAUGGACGAAAGUCUGACGCAGCGACGCCGCGUGGGGGAUGAAGGUCUUCGGAUUGUAAACCCCUUUCGGGAGGGAAGAUGGAGUGGGUAACCACUUGGACGGUACCUCCAGAAGCAGCCACGGCUAACUCGUGCCAGCAGCCGCGGUAA
rnacentral:rRNA from 1 species